AGACUUAAAAACAUACUUGAGCCACAAGACUUUGUGAGUAAGAUAUGUUUCUGCUCUAUCUAUCUGAUCAAAUUUAAAACUUAUCUGAGGGAAAAUGUCUGAGUUUCUUGAUAUUUCUAAUAUGAUGUCAAGUUGCCUGGGUAAAUAUCACUCUUCCUAUAGUCCUACUAUACAGGGUUUUUUCUUUUCUCUUGGAGAUGCCUUCUUAGCUUGUUGAUUGAGGUAUUGCAUUCACUAAUCUUGUAUUUUUUAUUCUCUUUGUUUUAUUAUUAAAGGAAAGUGAUGUUCCAGAAUCUGCAGUUGCCAAACUCUUUGCAUCUGCUAAGAAGAAUGGUGCACAAUUUAGUCAAUAUGGUGCUGUUUCCCACUGCUUGCAGCAUUUGCCUUCUGAAGGACAACUGCGGGCCUCAGCUGCUGAAGUUCAAAGUCUUCUGGUUUCUGGGAGAAAGAAAGAGGCUUUACAAUAUGCACAAGAGGGUCAAUUGUGGGGUCCUGCCCUAGUUCUUGCUGCACAACUUGGUGAUCAGUUCUACGUUGAAACUGUGAAGCAAAUGGCACUUCGCCAGUUGGUUGCUGGGUCACCUUUGCGAACAUUAUGCCUGCUAAUUGCUGGUCAACCAGCUGAUGUCUUCUCAGCAGAUUCAACUGCUGAUAGUAGUAUGGCUGGUGCUG